UUCACCAACCAGGAAGUACUGCGGGCGAUUCAUUUCCUGAACUACUUGCGAGCAGUUCUGCUCCGCUGGCUCCACACGCUGCCCGCAGGGUCCCUGACAAUGGGCUGACGCAUCCUCCGACAUGCAUCCUUUCCGUUAAUUGAAGCUUCACUUUGCCCGCAGGACACAGCACGAGUACCAGCCGGCUUUCUUUCUUUCUUUCUUUCAGUGUGUGAGGAAAUGUCACUGGCAACAAAAGAAAAAGACAUCAUGAAAAGUGUGAGACAAAGUGGCAAACAGCAGUGUUGGAGCAACUCUAUGGAGUCUUGGGCUAUUUUGUCCAUUUUUGAAUUC